AGCGAACGCUGGCGGCAGGCCUAACACAUGCAAGUCGAACGAACCUUUCGGGGUUAGUGGCGGACGGGUGAGUAACACGUGGGAACGUGCCUUUAGGUUCGGAAUAACUCAGGGAAACUUGUGCUAAUACCGCAUGUGCUCUUCGGGGGAAAGAUUUAUCGCCUUUAGAGCGGCCCGCGUCUGAUUAGCUAGUUGGUUGAGGUAAUGGCUCACCAAGGCGACGAUCAGUAGCUGGUCUGAGAGGAUGAUCAGCCACAUUGGGACUGAGACACGGCCCAAACUCCGACGGGAGGGAGCAGUGGGGAAUCUUGCGCAAUGGGCGAAAGCCUGACGCAGCCAUGCCGCGUGAAUGAUGAAGGUCUUAGGAUUGUAAAAUUCUUUCACCGGGGACGAUAAUGACGGUACCCGGAGAAGAAGCCCCGGCUAACUUCGUG
rnacentral:rRNA from 1 species